rnacentral:rRNA from 1 species
CGGCGGACGGGUGAGUAACACGUGGGUAACCUGCCUGUAAGACUGGGAUAACUCCGGGAAACCGGGGCUAAUACCGGAUGGUUGAUUGAACCGCAUGGUUCAAACAUAAAAGGUGGCUUCCGCCACCACUUACAGAAGGACCCCCCGCCCAAUAACUAAUUGGUGAAGGAACCGCUCACCCAAGGCAACAAUCCUAACCCAACUGAAAAGGUGAACCGCCACCCUGGGACUGAAACACCGCCCAAAAUCCUACCGGAAGCAACAAUGGU